CUCACAUAUCAAUAGGGUCAUAGGACAGUUGGCUAUGUAAAGAGUAAAUAUAAAGGUUUUAAUAACUAUGGUUACAAUGAAAGAAAACUCAACGAGGAUGAGGAGGCAGGGUUACAUUAUGUUUUCUUCUGAGGGAAUGGGGAACAGAAUCAUGGAAAAUAUUUUAAAAAUGGAAGUAAAAAGUCUCAAAUUCUUGGACUGAGGAUUAAGCUCAGUGACACUGCACCUACCUCCAAAGCACAAGGUUGUGAGUUCAAUCCCUGGUAUCAAAAAAAAACAACAACAACAACAACAACAACA
rnacentral:lncRNA from 1 species